ensembl:misc_RNA Metazoa_SRP Metazoan signal recognition particle RNA
GCUGGGCAUGGUGGUGUGUGCCUGUGGUCCCAGCUACUCAGGAAGCUGAGGUGGGUGGAUCACUUGAGCCCAGGAGGUCAAGGCUGCAGUGAGCCUAGAUCAUGCCACUGCACUCCAGCCUGGGUUACAGAGUGAGAUUCUAUCUCAG